AACCUCCGCAAUGUGAGAAAUCGCGACGGGGGGAUCCCAAGUGCCAUUCUUAACGGGAUGGCUUUUCAUUAGUGUAAAGAGCUUUUUGGAAUAAGGGCUGGGCAAGACCGGUGCCAGCCGCCGCGGUAACACCGGCAGCUCUAGUGGUAGCAGUUUUUAUUGGGCCUAAAGCGUCCGUAGCCGGUUUAAUAAGUCUCUGGUGAAAUCCUGUAGCUUAACUGUGGGAAUUGCUGGAGAUACUAUUAGACUUGAGACCGGGAGAGGUUAGAGGUACUCCCAGGGUAGAGGUGAAAUUCUGUAAUCCUGGGAGGACCGCCUGUUGCGAAGGCGUCUAACUGGAACGGUUCUGACGGUGAGGGACGAAAGUUAGGGGCGCGAACCGGAUUAGAUACCCGGGUAGUCCUAACUGUAAACGAUGCGGACUUGGUGUUGGGGUGGCUUUGAGCUGCUCCAGUGCCGAAGGGAAGCUGUUAAGUCCGCCGCCUGGGAAGUACGGUCGCAAGACUGAAACUUAAAGGAAUU
rnacentral:rRNA from 1 species